UUUACGUACUUUACGCGGCCGAAGCAGAAUGUUCGUUCCGGGUUUAUCGCACGGCAUAACCCGUGCGCGAUAUGAGAUGUAGCUGAUCGUUCGGCGAUCGUGUUGUAAGUGAGCGCGUGUUGUUUGUGCGAGUGCCCCCAAAAGGAUCGAGUGCAUACACACCCGCAAGAGUGAAUAAUAAAUCUAAAUGAUCCCACUUAGUGCGAUUGCGAAACCCAAUCAGCAGUGAACCUGUGAAGCAAUUAGUUUGCGCACACCUCAAUGAGUGGUGCCAUUGUUCCAGCGCUAACGACAGAAAGCGGAUUUAACACACGCCUAUGGCGAAAGGCCCGUUUGGUGGCAAACGUGUGCUGAUCGUACCGUGAAGCCCGCCACAUUCGGUAACACACACGUGCAGGGAGCUGGCUGCAACGAACGUGAGAAAAAGAAAAAAAAAACAAGCUUGCAAAAACAAGGCGCCACGUGAACCUUGGAACUGCGCUUAGUGCUGUUUCGUGUGCGUCCUUCUCCGGUGGUAGCCUUGGGCGGCGUAGACGUGGCGAACGAGUAAACCCGAUCGGUGGUGAAAAUUUCAUCAAUUUUCGUGCUCCC